rnacentral:rRNA from 1 species
CCUGGCUCAGGACGAACGCUGGCGGCGUGCCUAAUACAUGCAAGUCGAGCGAAUCAUUAGGAGCUUGCUCCUGAUGGUUAGCGGCGGACGGGUGAGUAACACGUGGGCAACCUGCCUGUAAGACUGGGAUAACUUCGGGAAACCGGAGCUAAUACCGGAUAAUCCUUUCCCUCACAUGAGGGAAAGCUGAAAGACGGUUUCGGCUGUCACUUACAGAUGGGCCCGCGGCGCAUCAGCUAGUUGGUGAGGUAACGGCUCACCAAGGCGACGAUGCGUAGCCGACCUGAGAGGGUGAUCGGCCACACUGGGACUGAGACACGGCCCAGACUCCUACGGGAGGCAGCAGUAGGGAAUCUUCCGCAAUGGACGAAAGUCUGACGGAGCAACGCCGCGUGAACGAUGAAGGCCUUCGGGUCGUAAAGUUCUGUUGUUAGGGAAGAACAAGUACCGGAGUAACUGCCCGGUACCUUGACGGUACCUAAACCAGAAAGCCACGGCUAACUACGUGCCAGCAGCCCGCGGGUAAUACGUAGUGGCAAGCGUUGUCCGGAAAUUAUUGGNGUAAAGCGCGCGCAGGCGGGUUCCUUAAGUCUGAUGUGAAAGCCCCCCGGCUCAACCGGGGAGGNCAUUGGNAAACUGGGGAACUUAAGUUACUGAAGAGGAAGCGGGAAAUUCCCACGUG